rnacentral:rRNA from 1 species
GACGUAGGGCGCGAGCGUUGUCCGGAUUUAUUGGGCGUAAAGAGCUCGUAGGCGGUUUGUCGCGUCGGGAGUGAAAACACCGGGCUUAACUCGGUGCUUGCUUUCGAUACGGGCAGACUGGAGGUAUGCAGGGGAGAACGGAAUUCCUGGUGUAGCGGUGAAAUGCGCAGAUAUCAGGAGGAACACCGGUGGCGAAGGCGGUUCUCUGGGCAUUACCUGACGCUGAGGAGCGAAAGUGUGGGGAGCGAACAGG